rnacentral:rRNA from 1 species
UGGGGGAUAUUGCGCAAUGGGGGGAACCCUGACGCAGCAACGCCGCGUGAAGGAAGAAGGUCUUCGGAUCGUAAACUUCUGUCUUCAGGGACGAAGAAUGACGGUACCUGAGGAGGAAGCCACGGCUAACUACGUGCCAGCAGCCGCGGUAAUACGUAGGUGGCAAGCGUUGUCCGGAUUUACUGGGUGUAAAGGGCGUGUAGGCGGGACUGCAAGUCAGAUGUGAAAUACCGGGGCUCAACUCCGGGGCUGCAUCUGAAACUGUGGUUCUUGAGUGCCGGAGAGGGAAGCGGAAUUCCUAGUGUAGCGGUGAAAUGCGUAGAUAUUAGGAGGAACACCAGUGGCGAAGGCGGCUUUCUGGACGGUAACUGACGCUGAGGCGCGAAAGCGUGGGGAGCAAACAGG